rnacentral:rRNA from 1 species
GACGAACGCUGGCGGCGUGCUUAACACAUGCAAGUCGAACGGAAAGGCCCUGCUUUUGUGGGGUGCUCGAGUGGCGAACGGGUGAGUAACACGUGAGUAACCUGCCCUUGACUUUGGGAUAACUUCAGGAAACUGGGGCUAAUACCGGAUAGGAGCUCCUGCUGCAUGGUGGGGGUUGGAAAGUUUCGGCGGUUGGGGAUGGACUCGCGGGUUAUCAGCUUGUUGGUGGGGUAGUGGCUUACCAAGGCUUUGACGGGUAGCCGGCCUGAGAGGGUGACCGGCGACAAUGGGACUGAGGUACGGCCCAGACUCCUACGGGAGGCAGCGGUGGGGAAUAUUGCCCAAUGGGCGGAAGCCUGAGGAAGAAACGCCGCGUGCGGGAUGACGGCCUUCGGGUUGUAAACCGCUUUCGCCUGUGACGAAGCGUGAGUGACGGUAAUGGGUAAAGAAGCACCGGCUAACUACGUG